rnacentral:misc_RNA from 1 species
UGUGGGAGCGGGCUUGCCCGCGAUGAGGCCGGCACAUCCAACAUUGAUGUUGGCUGAUGAUCCGCCAUCGCGGGCAAGCCCGCUCCCACA